GGGCCUACGGCACCUAUGCCGCCCGGGGGAUGGCUCGGCUCGGGCGCCGAGGAAGGGCGUGGCAAGCUGCGAUAAGCCCGGGGUAGGCGCAGGCAGCCGUCGAACCCGGGAUCCCCGAAUGGGACUUCCCGCUGCGGGUGAAGAGCCCGCAGCGCCCCCGUUUGGGGGCGGGAACCCCCCGAAAGGAAGCAUCUGAGUAGGGGGAGGAGAAGAAACCAACAGGGAUUCCCUGAGUAGGGGCGACCGAAAGGGGGAGAGCCCAAACCAAUCCCCCACGGGAGGACCGUGGGGGGAUGAGGGGUUGCGGCCCUGCGGCUGGGGCUUCGAGCCCCGGCGGGCCGACCCACGGUAGCCGAAGUGGGCUGGAAUGCCCCGCCGUAGAGGAUGAUAGCCCCGUAGGCGAAACCGUGGGGGCCCGUGCCGCAGGGCAGAGUACCACGGCUUGGUAUUGCCGUGGGAAGCUGGGAGGAACCGACUUCCAAGGCUAAAUACGUCCCGAGACCGAUAGCGAACUAAGUACCGUGAGGGAAAGCUGAAAAGAACCCCGGGAGGGGGGUGAAAAGAGCCUGAAACCGGGCGGCGACAUACGGUGCGGCCCGAAAGGGGUGAAACCCCCGAAGGAAACCCGGGCGACCGGGGAGUACGAGGGGGCUGGACCGGGGUCGCACCGUCCGUCUUGAAACACGGGCCGGGGAGUUCACGGCCGUGGCGAGCUUAAGGGGGUCAACCCCGUAGGCGCAGGGAAACCGACAGGCCCGCAGCCGGGGGCGACCCCGGCGAGGGGCGGGGUCCUAAUAGGGCCCGGAGUCACGGCCGUGAGACCAGAAACCGGGCGAUCUAGGCGGGGGCAGGGCGAAGCCGGGGGAAACCCCGGUGGAGGCCCGCAAGGGUGCUGACGUGCAAAUCGCUCCCCUGACCCCCGUCUAGGGGUGAAAGGCCAAUCUAGCCCGGAAGAUAGCUGGUUCCCGCCGAAGUGGCUCGCAGGCCAGCCCCGCCGGAGGCCGGGCCGUGGGGUAGAGCUACUGAUUGGGCGUGCAGGGGGCGUAAAGCCCCCGGCGCCCAGUCAAACUCCGAACCUGCGGCCGCCGUAGAUGGCGGGAGUGGGGUUCCCCGGGGUAAGCCCGGGGGCCGAGAGGGGAACAACCCAGACCGGGGUUAAGGCCCCUAAGUGCCGGCUAAGUGCCAAGCCAAAGGGCGUCCCCCGCCUAAGACAGCGGGGAGGUGGGCCUAACAGCAGCCAUCCUCUAAAGGCGGGUUACCUCACCCUUCCAGGUGCUGGGUUUAGCUGAAUCUUAGUAUUACAUUCUGUAGUUCAUGCCAGGAUAGGGUAGAAGGUACUAGUCUAAUAGGAUUUAGGCAUCCUCAGAAGUCAGGGCGUGCAUUUAGACUCUUAACGAAGUUUGGUCAUGCUAAUUAUUAUUUACCUUUGGGUGGGGUGCCCGCCGGAGAGGGAGUGCGUAACAGCUCACCCGCCGAGGCGGGGGGCCCCGAAGAUUGGUCGGGGCUUAAGCCGGCCGCCGAGACCCCGGGCCGCGGCUCCGAUGGAGCCGCGUGCGGUAGGCGGGCGUCGGGGUGGCGUAGAAGCCGGGCCGCGAGGUCCGGUGGAGCCGCCCCGAGUGCGGAUCCCGGCGGUAGUAACAGCGAAGCGGGGUGAGAAUCCCCGCCGCCGGAAAGGGCAAGGGUUCCCCGGCAAUGGUCGUCAGCCGGGGGUCAGCCGGUCCUAACCGGGACCGUAACACGGAUCCCGGGAAGGGGAAACGGGUUAACAUUCCCGUGCCGCGGGGGUACGCUUCGCGGCAACGCAAGGCCCCACCCCCGACGCCUCGGGGUAGGCGGACCGGGGGCCCCCUUAGGGGGGCGACCCGGCUAACCUGCCGAAGGCCGGGGAGUGCCGUAACGGCGAGAACCGGCCGAAGGGGGGAAUGGCCCGCCUAUGGCGGGUUCCGCCGACCCCUGGGGCCCUUGAAAAGGGGGUGGGGAAGGAUCCCCCGCGCCCGUACCGAGAACCGACACAGGUGCCCCUGGGUGAGCAGCCCAAGGCGUCUGGGGGCUAACCCGGGCCAGGGAACUCGGCAAAUUGGCCCCGUAACUUCGGGAGAAGGGGUGCCUGCGGUCCUGGGGCCCGAACCCUGGGACCGCAGGUCGCAGUGCCUAGGGGGGCCUGACUGUUUAACAAAAACAUAGCUCCCCGCUAGCCCGAAAAGGGUGUGUACGGGGGGUGAGCCCUGGCCACUGGCGGUCCGUGAAACCGGGGUACAACCCGGCGAAGCGCCGCUGAAGGCCGGGAGUAACCCUGACUCUCUUAAGGUAGCCAAAUGCCUUGCCGGGUAAGUUCCGGCGCGCAUGAACGGGUCAACGAGGUCCCCACUGUCCUGGCCCGGGGCCCCGUGAACCCCCUGAGCCGGUGCACAGUCCGGCAUCCCCCCGCAGGGAGAGAAGACCCCGUGGAGCUUUACCGCAGCCCGGCGUUGGCCCCCGGGUGGGGGUGCGUAGCGUAGGUGGGAGCCGAUGAGCCACCCUCUCCGGGGGGUGGGGAGGCGUCCAUGAAACACCACCCACCCCCGCCCGGGGGCCUAACCCCGCCCCGGGUGGGCGGGGGACAGCGUCGGGUGGGCGGUUUGGCUGGGGCGGCACGCCCGCGAAAGGGUAACACGGGCGCCCAAAGGUCGGCUCAGGCGGGUCAGAACUCCGCCGUGGAGUGCAAGGGCAAAAGCCGGCCUGACCGGACCUCUGAAAGCAAGGGGUCCGGCCGGGAAACCGUGGCCUAGCGCACGCUCGUGCCCCCUCGGUGGGGGCCGGGCACGACAGAAAAGUUACCCCGGGGAUAACAGAGUCGUCGCGGGCGAGAGCCCCCAUCGACCCCGCGGUUUGCUACCUCGAUGUCGGCUCUUCCCAUCCUGGGGGUGCAGCAGCCCCCAAGGGUGGGGCUGCCCGCCCAUUAAAGGGGAACGUGAGCUGGGUUCAGACCGUCGUGAGACAGGUCGGUCUCUACCCGCGGGGGGUGUGGGCCGCCUGAGGGGAAGGUGCCCUUAGUACGAGAGGAACGGGGCGCCGCGGCCUCUGGUGUACCGGUUGUCCUGGUGGGCAACGCCGGGCAGCUAAGCCGUAGGGGGUAACCGCUGAAAGCAUCUAAGCGGGAACCCCUCCCCGAAAAGAGGCGGCCGUUGGGCGCCGGCCUGGUGCCGGCGUCCACGAGGGCUCCCGUAGAAGACGGGGUUGAUGGGGCGGGGGUGUGAGCCCCGAGGGGGCUUAGCCCUCGAGGGGUGUAGCCCGCCGCUCCCAAUCGCCCGAGGCCGUAGGCUG
rnacentral:tRNA from 12 species